rnacentral:rRNA from 1 species
GAUGAACGCUGGCGGCAUGUCUAACACAUGCAAGUCGAACGAAGCACCUUUAAACAAUCCCUUCGGGGUGCGUUUAAAGAAUGUUUAGUGGCGAACGGGUGAGUAACACGUAGAUAACCUGCCUUAAACUUUGGAAUACCUUAUGGAAACGUAAGUUAAUACCAAAUAAGCCUACCAGUAUCGCAUGGUACAGUAGGAAAAGAUUUUAUCGGUUUAAGAGGGGUCUGCGUCCCAUUAGCUAGUUGGUGAGAUAACAGCUCACCAAGGCUACGAUGGGUAGCCGGGAUGAGAGUCUGAACGGCCACACUGGGACUGAGACACGGCCCAGACUCCUACGGGAGGCAGCAGUGAAGAAUAUUGCACAAUGGGCGCAAGCCUGAUGCAGCAAUGCCGCGUGAAGGAAGAAGGCCCUCGGGUUGUAAACUUCUUUAGCUCGGGAAGAAAAAAAUGACGGUACCGAGAGAAUAAGCCCCGGCUAAAUACGUGCCAGCAGCCGCGGUAAUACGUAUGGGGCAAGCGUUAUCCGGAUUUACUGGGUGUAAAGCGUGGGUAGCCGGCACACCAAGUCAUAUGUGAAAUCCUGGGGCUCAACCCCAGGCCUGCAUAAGAAACUGGUGUACUAGAGUAUGGGAGAGGCAGGCGGAAUUCCUAGUGUAGCGGUGGAAUGCGUAGAUAUUAGGAGGAACACCAGUGGCGAAGGCUGCCUGCUGGACCAAAACUGACGGUGAGCCACGAAAGCGUGG